rnacentral:rRNA from 1 species
GCGGUGGAGCAUGAGGUUUAAUUCGAAGCAACGCGAAGAACCUUACCAGGUCUUGACAUCCUUGGACCACUCUGGAGACAGAGCUUUCCCUGCGGGGACAAAGUGACAGGUGGUGCAUGGUUGUCGUCAGCUCGUGUCGUGAGAUGUUGGGUUAAGUCCCGCAACGAGCGCAACCCUUGAUUUUAGUUGCCAGCAUUUAGUUGGGCACUCUAAAGUGAC